AAAACCAAAUCUAUCAUCUUCAUCGUCUUCGUGACUUUCAAUUUUUCUUCUCUAACAAAGGUUUUUCCUUUUGUUUAGUAAAGAGAUGCAACAAAUUAUUUUUCUCACAAAAAAAUAUUUUAGUUUGGAGUGUGCAAUGGCGAUAACGUUGGAGACAUCGAUAUAGACGACGGCGAAAAUGGAGACAACAACACAGACAACAUCGAUGAUGGAAAUGUAAACCACGUCAAUAUAGAUGACAAGCAAACCCCAAGGCAUCUCCUCCUUCUUUCUCUGCUGCGAUCCUUUCUUGAUUUCAUAUUCUGCCCGUGACAAAAGAUAUCUCCGGUGAACCCUUUUGAUUAUGUACCAUCCAAAUAUAUGUUAUGUUGCAUCUGUUCCAAAGGACGAAGACAAUCUCC
rnacentral:lncRNA from 1 species